GAUGCUCUCUCUGGCAUCACAUAUCCUAAAAUGGGAAUGACACAGAGAAGAUUAGUGUGGCCCCUGCACAAGGAUAACACUCAGAUUCAUGAAGAAUUAUGGUGAUCA